rnacentral:rRNA from 1 species
GACGAACGCUGGCGGCGUGCCUAAUACAUGCAAGUUGAGCGCUGAAGGUUGGUACUUGUACCAACUGGAUGAGCAGCGAACGGGUGAGUAACGCGUGGGGAAUCUGCCUUUGAGCGGGGGACAACAUUUGGAAACGAAUGCUAAUACCGCAUAAAAACUUUAAACACAAGUUUUAAGUUUGAAAGAUGCAAUUGCAUCACUCAAAGAUGAUCCCGCGUUGUAUUAGCUAGUUGGUGAGGUAAGGGCUCACCAAGGCGAUGAUACAUAGCCGACCUGAGAGGGUGAUCGGCCACAUUGGGACUGAGACACGGCCCAAACUCCUACGGGAGGCAGCAGUAGGGAAUCUUCGGCAAUGGACGAAAGUCUGACCGAGCAACGCCGCGCGAGUGAAGAAGGUUUUCGGAUCGUAAAACUCUGUUGGUAGAGAAGAACGUUGGUGAGAGUGGAAAGCUCAUCAAGUGACGGUAACUACCCAGAAAGGGACGGCUAACUACGUG